rnacentral:misc_RNA from 1 species
AACGCACCUUGCGCUCCUUGGUAUUCCGAGGAGCAUGCCUGUUUGAGUGUCAUUAAAUUCUCAACUCUACCGAUUUGUUUCGGGCAGAGCUUGGAUUUGGAGCGUGCUGGCCCUUCCCUGGGUCGGCUCCUCUUUAAAUGCAUCAGCGGAGUCUUCUUUGACUUCCGGUAUCAGUGUGAUAAUCAUGUUGCGCUGUUGGCCGAGGUCUUAGUCCGCUUACAAUGGUCUUCGGACAACAUAUCAAAUUUUGACCUCAAAUCAGGUAGGAUUACCCGCUGAACUUAA